CUGAGAUUAGCAGCAUCUAAUCUCAGUUUUCUCCAUUGCUGACCAGCAUCAGCAACACAGGUGGAAAAAAAUUCUUUUGAGCCGCAGUAAAACGGCUUCAACCGAAAGAGUGAAGAAACAGACUCUACUGUGCUGCCUUCUCCACAGAAACGAGAGUGCAUUACAGCCAAGCCAGGAUGGAAUUCUAGUCCUGUUUUGGGUAUCAAAUCCAAAUCCUGUAAGCAAAAGGUCAAGGAUUCAGAAGUGAAAGGAAAGAUUGUGGCUCUAACUUUUUGCCAAAGUAAAAAGUACAGACCUCUGCCAUCAGUGAAGAAAGAACCCAGAUCUGAUAAGAGCUUCGAAAAGGCUCAGCACCUCCUGGCACACACACAGCGGCAUCGCGUUGCCCCAAGAAAAUCACAUCUCUACACAUCAGACCCUUUCCAGUCCAUUUUGCCCCAUCCACAAAAUGAAAAUGCCACUUUAUUUGCUAAAUCUAAAAAUUCUGUUGGGAGGCAAAGGGGAGUUGAAGAAUCUGCAAUGAAUUUAACCUGCCAGGAGAGGGAGUUUAACACCAAGCUUCCAGAAACAGGCUGCGUGGUAGCUACGAGGUCCAGAAACCCAGGUUUCAACGCGGCCCUGCUGCACGACCCAAGGGAAAUUCAGCACCAGGUGGGUGAAGUGACUUACCAGUGCACAGCCGCACUCGCAGACUUCGGAGCCCCCACCUAAUUCUAAAAUGCUGUAUGUCCAUGAACCUAAUAACAGAAGGUCGGGGAGAGAAGUUCUGGGAGCAACGGAAAUCUAUCUUAAGAUAAAGAUGUUUCUGAGGCUGAUUUUUCAAGUCAAACUUGAGAGAGAAAUUCAAACGCUAUGUUCUCAUAUCAUAUUCCUGGGUUUGGGAGGUUCAUUCACAGCUUAAUCCUGUCCCCUGAAGUCACGGUUACGUAAGUAUGCUGUGUCACUUGCUGUCCCCACCCCCAACACAGGAGAUGCAGUGUAACCUGAGCUGCUCGGCUUGAGCCACUGAAAACACUUACACAACACUGGGACCUUUCCAAAUUGACUUGUUUCCCCUAAAGAAAGGGCAAGCUAUUUGAUUUUCUUCCUUCCACUUCAUUCACAUUCAUAUUUCUGUAUAUACAGAAGAGACUGAAAAAGACAAAUAAGAUUGAAGGGCAUUUGCAAAUUUUCUUCAAUUCUUGAGUAAAACAAAAAAGUCAACUAUCCAAUGUCAUGGAAAAGCAACCAAAAAAAAAAAAAAAAUGUAUGGGCCUGCUUAGCCCCAAUUUAAAAACAUCACAUCUCCUGGCUGAACUGAGCUUAAGGUCCUUGGACGGGCUUCAUUUCCCAUGUACUGGCUGUUUCUAGAGCCAGGCCCCAUACGCUACUGCCACGCGCAGCACACUGCCACACAGAAGGGCUUUGGGGGCACAUGGGAAAUGGCUCUCCAAGAACACAGGAGACACAUCAGCAGUCUCUUGUGACUACUCUUCUUGCCCUGUCUUCCUUAUCUGGACUACUCCAGCUACUGGGCAGGCUUCGAUUAUGGAAUGAUGACUCACACGCAUUCCUGUCUUGUUUGCAUAUCAUGCUAUGACUAAGUUCCAUGAGAUUUGAUUUGUCUUCGCAUCCAAAGAACCUAAAAAAGUUUGAUACACAGUAAGAGUUCAAAAAAGUUCUCAAGUGAGUCAACAGCAAAACAAGAAUCCAUAAAAUUAUGCAAAAUGAUGCGAUUUUCAAACUAAAGCAUCAAGUAACUGUAUCUUAC
rnacentral:lncRNA from 1 species